CCGCAGGGAAGCGGUGCCUGCCACUUCCUGGAGUGGAGUAGCACGGGGCCAGGGCCAGGGCAGGCAGGAGCCUACCCAGGCCCUAGUGCACGCCCUUGCCACCCCGGAGCCGCUCAAGAGAUCAUGGAAAUAAUGAGAGGAAACAUGGACUCCUUCACCACCCCAUGAGAACUUCAGACUUUGUUUUAGCUCUGAAGACCUUAGACCACCCGUAGAGGAAGCACUACAUCAGCAACAGUUCUGAAGAGGAGGAGGGAGUGGCCAUGGGGAGCCCUUUGUAUCGCAUUGAUGGAUACACUGUAACCUGAUCCUGAAACCCAAGCUCUUGUGAGGCAGCUCGACGAGUGUGACGGCCUUUCGUUGUCUACCCCUAUGGAGGAAGGUGACCACAGCUCAAGGGAGUCACUGGUGGCAAGGUGAAUGGAAAAGACAUCACUUAGGAUACAGGCCCGUCUCAAAAUGUGGACAUCCUGCUGACAAUAAUGUGCGAGCUCUUUCUGCAAGUCAAACGUCUCAAAUCUGUUGUCCCGAUACCAGUCAAGAAAUUCUGCUUUCUCCCUGGGCAUCAUGCUAUCUACGCCAUAGAGCUUCACCCCGGGCAUAGGCCCCAUGUAAUUUUGGUUUUCUAAAGAGUUAAAAAAAUGUGCGAAAUACCCUUUGCAACCUUCAAACCCCAUCGCCUCCGGGAGCUUGCUAAGUUUCAUGGGCAAGAAGAUUAAAGAGUCUAUAAAAUGAAUGCCUAGGGCCUUAACUUCCAUACACAUUAGUUUACUACCCUGAGUUAUCAGUUCUAUGCCCAUCUUUUCCUUCAGUAACUGUCUAACAACGAAGUACGCAUCAUAACGUUUGGAAUUGUGUGCUAGGAACAUGUAGUCCUGGAACUUUUUGCCAAUGAAGGUCUUAACAAAGGUAGAAAGACACUCACAGCCCAUAAAUUCCCAGGAUUUUUAUGGCUUUAGGGACAUAGCAAAAAUGUAAUUGGGCACAUGCAACCCCGUCUCCUGCAUUCAUUCAAAAUUGUAAAAAAAUAUACUUUUUUGAUGAUUCAGGCUUUCUAAUGCUAUCCAUAAAACACAGGUGGCUGUCUACAUCAUCGAUGAUCAAACCCUGACAGUGCUUACAAUGCCUCCCUUUACACCUCUGCCCUUUGUCCACGUAAGACUGACACUUAUCACACAACGUUUUAGACAGGCAUUCGACUUGUUUUUUCUAUGUGCAGUCAACGUGUCUGUCUAAGCACUCUUUGGAGUGACAAUACAGUCUACAGCUAGGACACCUCAGCUGCACGCCCACACUGUCAGAGCACGUCGCACUCAAGCAGAGGUGGCAACGAUACCUGCAAGAGUGGUCGUGACUGUACACUAUGUGGCAAAUGUCACAAUAAUUUUUCGCACUGAACAACUUUUUCACAUCGAGAACCCCAUAAUAAUGCUCAUCGUGCAACAGGAUGAAAAAAGUAUUGGGGUACACUGGGCCUCCUGUUUAAAAAAAAACCUACCUGCCUUUUGCCGCAUAAAGCAUCACCUGUAUGUUGACUCCUAAAUGCUGUUAAAACGCCGCUAGGUUGCUGAGCAUAAUUUUUUUUUAUCUGCCCACCCCAGUUUCUCAUGCAACUUUCUCGCCCCGUCUAAGAACUCCCCAUCUGUGGGUUUGCAGUCGGACAUGACAGCCAAGAACCCGGCCGCAAAACGCAGAUUGGUACCGGUGUAAGUCAGGUCUACUAAGCACUGUCUCUUUUUAUGGAUGGUUUGAUUACUGAGGAUAGAAUUUAAAACUCUGUG